UCUCGAUCUCCUGACCUCGUGAUCCACCCGCCUUGGCCUCCCAAAGUGCUGGGAUUACAGGCAUGAGCCACCGCGCCCGGCCUAAUUUUUGUGUUUUUAGUAGUUUCACAUGAGAAGGACUGUUUCCUCUGCUUUCAGUACUAAGCACUGGGAAGUCUACACAUGGCAAGGUGUGUAAAUUCAUGUUAGUGUUACCUAAAGCACAUAUAUUUGAAAGGUAACUACAUAUUGUUUCAUGAUAUAAUAUACAUUUGCUUCCAUUAAGGUAACAUUAUUAGUCGCCUUAUUUAUGUGCUAAACCUAUAGGGCAAGAAAAAUAUACAAAUUAAGAGCUUUUACUUUUUUCUAUUAAUAAUAAUUUCUGCUAGUUAUUACAGAGUAGUAAGCAUACCACAGUUAUAAUUGACUUUGUUCUCUUAAAUGCUUACAGUCUGACCAUCUGUUGAAAUCUCACAGAUUUUUGGUUUUGUGAUCAUCUCAGAAUUACUUCCCAAAUUAUUGAAUUGAGCAGUAAGCAUCAAAAACACUGAAUAAGAGUUAUUUAAAACUUUACAAAAAUAUUUAGGGGCCUUAAUGUGGAUAAUUUAGAAUUUACUAGGAGACAUCAAAAAUUCAACUGGAAUACAACAACUUUCUUUAAAAUUCUAUUCAUUUUUUCAAAUAAUUGAUCUAUUUCUACUGUAACAACUGCAGCCAGUACUAGGGAUGACAUUUAGCUAAUCUGCCCCAUGAGGGCGCUCAUAAACCUGUUUAUUUUCAGGGAGGCCAACUUUUUUUUUUUUUUCUGAGAUGGAGUCUUGCUCUGUCGCCCAGACUGGAGUGCAGUGGUGCAAUCUCAGCUCACUGCAACCUCCACCUCCCGGGUUCAAGCGAUUUUCCUGCCUCAACCUCCUGAGUAGCUGGGAUUACAGGUGCACGCCACUGCGCCUGGCUAAUUUUUGUAUUUUUAGUAGAGACAGGGUAUCACUAUGUUGACCAGGCUGGUCUUGAACUCUUGACCUCAGGUGAUCCGCCCGCCUCAGCCUCCCAAAGUGCUGGGAUUACAGGCGUGAGCCACUGUGCCUGGCCACGGAGGACACUUUUGAUGUAAGGGAAAGGAGGUAGCUUAUAUAUUAUGAGGGUCUUUUUUUAAUUCUCCUUCUGUUCCUCCCAUUUUCCCUUCCCCUAACCUCCUUCUUCUUCCCAAACAUUUAAAAUAAUUCUCUGGCAGUUAUCCUCCAGAUUUAAGAUAGAUAGCAAUCUAUGAGUCCUAAUAAUCUCAUAGUAUUAGAUUUUUUUUUGGUGUUUCCUUCCCUUCUUUACAAAAAAAGAUACUGAGGCCAAGUUAAACUUUACACUGAAAGUCACUGAUAAAGCUGGAGAGAGAACCCAGAAUUCCAGCAGAGGAGGUUUUCUUGUUUGUUUGUUUUCGUUUUGUUUUGUUUUUUAUUUUUUUAGACAGAGUCUCGCUCUGUCACCCAGGCUAGAGUUCAGUGGCACAAUCUCGGCUCACUGCAACCUCUGCUUCCCGAAUUCAAGCGAUUCUCCUGCCUCAGCCUCCCGUGCAGUUUGGAUUACAGGCAUGUGCCACCAUGCCCGGUUAAUUUUUAUAUUUUUAGUAGAGACGGGGUUUCACCAUGUUGUCGAGGCUGGUCUCGAACUCCCAACCUCAGGUGAUCCACCCUCCUGGGCCUCUCAAAAUGCUGAGAUUACAGGCGUGAGCCACUGCGCCCAGCCCCAGCAGAGGAGUUUUCUAUACUGAGGAGAGGAUUCUUGGAGAGCUUUAGUCAUUACCCAGGACCCCACAACUAGGAAAUGGAAGAGCCAGGUUCAAACACAGGCUGUGUGACCCCAACAUGAAUUGUUUAAAAGCUGAAUUAUACUUUAGUAGAAAUAAUACAGUCAGCUGUCACCUGGCAUGUCUUCAACUAGAAUUCUCUGUGAAUUGUUGUGUUACUGGACUGCCAAGACAAAUCUUGUUUAUGAUACAAAUCUUCAAGAACCAUUUUAACCAUCCGAAGAUUAAACAGUGUUCAUUGUGGUUUAUUAGGUGUACUUUAUGAUGUUGAGAAAAAUGUUUGUUCAUAAAUCACCAAUGGAGUGACUUUUUAAUCCUUUUUUGAAGGCAUAAUUAAUGUUUGGUGACUUUUUUAAUGUGAAUAUUUGAAUACCACAUUUCCUUACUGUGCUGGGUAGUUGAGAGUUUAUGAUACUUAAUAAAUUGAUGCCUUUCUACACUUGUGAACUUGUCCAAAGAACACUAGGAGUUGCCAGAAAGAUAAGUCCUAUGCAAAUGCUUUCUAAACAAUGAAAUUCAUGGAAUUAAGGCAUGAGAUGUUAUGCUGUCUCCUGAAAAAGUAUUUUUUCUCCUGGCAAGAAUAAAAGUCAAGUUAACAUGG
rnacentral:sRNA from 1 species